rnacentral:rRNA from 1 species
GACGAACGCUGGCGGCGUGCCUAAUACAUGCAAGUAGAACGCAGUUGCGAACGGGUGAGUAACGCGUAGGUAACCUGCCUCAUAGCGGGGGAUAACUAUUGGAAACGAUAGCUAAUACCGCAUACUGUGAGAUGGACCUGCGUUGUAUUAGCUAGUUGGUGAGGUAAAGGCUCACCAAGGCGACGAUACAUAGCCGACCUGAGAGGGUGAGCGGUGACGCUGGAGCUGAGAGACGGCACAGGCGCAUACGCGAGGCAGCAGUAGGAAAUCUUCAGAAAUGGACGGAAGACUGAGCGAGCGAAGCCGCGGUAAUAC